rnacentral:misc_RNA from 1 species
AUCACCUCAUUCUUUUUGGCUGAGAAAGCUAGCGGCAGGAAAUUUGAAUUGCAUAAUAUCUAAGAUAUUUAGUUCCAAUUUCUAACCACCAUCAUUGCCGUCUUUACAACCACCGUGACUAUUAUAUGCACUCCAACCCUACAGCCACAGCUGUCACCCUAACGAUUACUAUUUCUACCAGCAUCAAUGCCAUUAUUAUCAUCGACUGCCAUUAACUACUCACUCCAAACUAUAUCCAGUGUGAACAAAAUCAACACUGUCACUGUCACCACUAAUUAA